UACGUAGGGUGCAAGCGUUGUCCGGAAUUAUUGGGCGUAAAGAGCUCGUAGGCGGCUUGUCGCGUCUGCUGUGAAAACCCGGGGCUCAACCCCGGGCCUGCAGUGGGUACGGGCAGGCUAGAGUGCGGUAGGGGAGAUUGGAAUUCCUGGUGUAGCGGUGGAAUGCGCAGAUAUCAGGAGGAACACCGAUGGCGAAGGCAGAUCUCUGGGCCGCUACUGACGCUGAGGAGCGAAAGCAUGGGGAGCGAACAGGAUUAGAUACCCUGGUAGUCCAUGCCGUAAACGUUGGGAACUAGAUGUAGGGCCUGUUCCACGGGUUCUGUGUCGUAGCUAACGCAUUAAGUUCCCCGCCUGGGGAGUACGGCCGCAAGGCUAAA
rnacentral:rRNA from 1 species